CUACCAAAGGCUCUCGUUGAACAAUCCCACCGGUGAGUGUAUACAUUCGGUCUCCUGCGUGGACCUGAGAGAGCCAAGA